rnacentral:sRNA from 1 species
UAGCUGCUGUUUCGCCUCAUGUAAAACC